UCGCUCUCAAAGUGGUUGUGCUUAUGUGGAGUAAUUUCAUAUCACAGCCAGCUUUGAUGAGCGAUG
rnacentral:pre_miRNA from 1 species